rnacentral:rRNA from 1 species
GAUGAACGCUGGCGGCGUGCCUAAUACAUGCAAGUCGAGCGGACAGACCCGGAGCUUGCUCGUCUCACGUUAGCCGCGGACGGGUGUGACACACGUGGAUCCCGCCCCUGUCUGUCUGGUAUCACUACGAGACACCGGCGCUAAUCGCAGAGGAUAUAUUGCACCGUGUGGGUCACUAGUGAGUGUCGGCUUUUCGGGCUCUACUCGAUGCUUCCCGGCCGUAUUAGCUAGUUGGUAAGGUAACGGCUUACGAAGGCAACGAUGCGUAGCCGACCGGAUAGGGGGAUAGGCCACACUGGAACUUGGACACGGUCCAGACUCCUACGGGACGCAGCAGUAGGGAAUCUUCCGCAAUGGGCGAAAGCCUGGCGGAGCAACGCCGCGUGAGAUAUGAAGGUGUUCGGAUCGUAAAACCCUGUUAUUAGGGAAGAACAAAUGUGGAAGUAACUAUGCACGGCGUGACGGUACCUAAUCAGAAAGCCACGGCUAACUACGUG